rnacentral:rRNA from 1 species
UACGGGGGGGGCAAGCGUUGUUCGGAAUUACUGGGCGUAAAGGGCGCGUAGGCGGCUUUUCAAGUCGGGCGUGAAAUCUCCGGGCUUAACCCGGAAGGGUCGUUCGAUACUGUUGAGCUAGAGUGUGGAAGAGGCAACUAGAAUUCCGUGUGUAGCGGUGAAAUGCGUAGAUAUACGGAGGAAUACCUGAGGCGAAGGCGGGUUGCUGGGCCAACACUGACGCUGAGGCGCGAAAGCCAGGAGAGCAAACGGG